ensembl:snRNA U6 U6 spliceosomal RNA
AUGCUUGCUUCGGCAGCACAUACACUAAAAUUGGAACGAUACAGAGAAGAUUAGCCUGGCCCCUGAAUAAGGAGGACAUGCAAAUUCAUGAAACUUUCCAUAUUUUU